rnacentral:misc_RNA from 1 species
UCCGGUUUGUCACCGGCGGUCUCCUUAGAGUUCCCAACUUAAUGAUGGCAACUAAGAACAGGGGUUGCGCUCGUUACGGGACUUAACCCAACAUCUCACGACACGAGCUGACGACAGCCAUGCAGCACCUGUCUCACGGUUCCCGAAGGCACUUCUGCAUCUCUGCAAAAUUCCGUGGAUACAAGGGUAGGUAAGGUUCUUCGCGUUGCAUCGAAUUAAACCGCAUGCUCCACCGCUUGUGCGGGCCCCCGUCAAUUCCUUUGAGUUUCGGUCUUGCGACCGUACUCCCCAGGCGGAGUGUUUCACGCGUUAGCUGGGCCCCUGAUCCACGUAGACCAAGGGCGAACACUCAUCGUUUACGGCAUGGACUA